CAGUCGCCACGGUAAUACGAAGGGUGCAAGCGUUAAUCGGAAUUACUGGGCGUAAAGCGUGCGCAGGCGGUUUGUUAAGACAGAUGUGAAAUCCCCGGGCUUAACCUGGGAACUGCAUUUGUGACUGGCAAGCUAGAGUAUGGCAGAGGGGGGUGGAAUUCCGCGUGUAGCAGUGAGAUGCGUAGAUAUGCGGAGGAACACCGAUGGCGAAGGCAGCCCCCUGGGCCAAUACUGACGCUCAUGCACGAAAGCGUGGGGAGCAAACAGGAUUAGAUACCCCUGUAGUCCCUGUCUCUUAUAC
rnacentral:rRNA from 1 species